GAUGAAGAACGCAGCGAAAUGCGAUAAGUAAUGUGAAUUGCAGAAUUCAGUGAAUCAUCGAAUCUUUGAACGCACCUUGCGCCCUUUGGACUUCCGAAGGGCAUGCCUGUUUGAGUAUCAUGAACACCUCAACUCCUUAUGGUCUUCCAUGAUGAGCUUGGACUUUGGGGGUUUUGCUGGCCUACAGUCAGCUCCUCUAAAAUAAAUCAGCUUACCGGUGUUUGGUGGGUAUCAUGGGUGUGAUAACUAUCUACGCUCGUGGUUUUCCACCAGGUAACCUUCAGCAGUGGAGGUUCACUGGAGCUCAUAGAUGUCUCUCCUCAGCGAGGACAGCCCUUUGAAUGUUUGAUCUCAAAUCAGGUAGGACUACCCGCUGAACUUAAGCAUAUCAAUAAGCGGAGGA
rnacentral:misc_RNA from 1 species